UGCAACUGUCUACUUAUUGUUUCCCCAACAGGGAUGUAACUGUCUACUUGUCUUUGUGGGACGAGGCUACAUCAACCUUUAGUGGUCUCUUGAAAAGAGGGGAUAAAUCCCAGUCUGUGAUGUUGGUGGUGACUACGGUUAAUCCAAAACUAUUUGGAGGGAACCUAUACUUAACCUCCACACCAGGGGAUAUGUUCGUUUUUGACACCAGCCUCUCUGAAAUUACAAAGUUUGUCAGCAGGCUGAAAACGGUGGAGAGGAAAAUCUCCCAAGCUGCCUUGAAGAGCUAACUGAGAAGGAGUUUGUGUUCCAGAUCCGUGUCACACCUUUAAACUUCACACCCAACCACCGUAUUUUCACUGUCCCCACCAUCACUGAAGAUACCAUCUUAGGGACCCAUGGCAAGAUUGUCCUAUUUUACUUGUCGAUAUGUUUAUUGUUUGGACCUUUUGUUUAAAGCUGACGUUCAUGUAUCUCACAAGCACUGUGAGAAUAUUCUUCCAAACAGUAAAGUUGACGUAGGAUUGGAAGCAUCACCUUCGGGCCGUCUGUUUUGGGUGAGAAUGUCAGGGAGGAAUGUGCUACAGCUGAUCCUCCAUAGAUUUCAGCCGCUCAGAACAACUGCAAGCGCCGCCGUGCGUGAAUGGAAUGAUCUAUUCCUAUCAGCCCGUCAACCGUUUUGUCUAUGCAUUUUAAAAAAAACUACUAUUACUUUUGUUUUCCAUGUUAAACUUUAGAUAUUUUUCCCUUGGAUGUUUGUUUAUGUUCGGAUAUUUAAUUUUGAUUUGUAUUACUAAUGAAA